UGGAGAAUGCCGUCUGCACAGUCUGAACCUUCGAACUCAGAAACGGCCUGCAAUUGGUUGUCCAGCUGUAACUCAUUUUAAGUGACAGAAAAACUGACCAAUCAUAUUGUUCAUCUGAAUGGGUGGGUUCUCUUCAUCCACUCGCUCGCUCUGAGGACUUUCGUGUUUUAAAGAUAAGUUGGACAUUACUGCGGUCUUUUUCGGUUUAUUUAGUUUUGUGUUAAUUAUAUACACAAAGUAUUCGAUUCAAAUGUUAAUGUAAAACUAUUAUCCGCUGUAUAUUAAUUGUGUGUUCAAUUGCGAAGUUCGCGUGGCUGACUGAAUUGUUUGACAAAGACGUCUUACUGGAUUUGUCUGCUGCCCUCCGAAACUUGAAGCAAAACUGAAGGGAAAUGCAACGUUAUUCAUUUAAUUCCACAAAAGGCAACGUGAAACAUUGCUGAGGGAGAACUAUAUUCACAACAAAAGGAUAAUGAUGAAGAGGCGGGACUUGGGCAGCUUGUGAUGGCUGUAAUUGUAAAGAAUGGAUCUUCUAGGAGUGGAAGCCCAAGGGAUGCUGGAAUUGUUAUCGAGGCCUUAAAGUUGUUCCCAGGGCAGGCUUUAUCCUCAUUGGAUUGGAUCUAUGCAUUGAAUCUCCAGUAUCCCAGGCAUCUUUUCAGGUGUUUCAGAAACUUUUCUUGGAGCUGGAUUCUUCAAAGUUUAUAAACUGAUUACAGUACAGUAAGUCUAAACUGCUGUCUGAUUUUCUGGGUGUGAAUCAAAGUAACAGAACACAAACAUGGAACCUUUCGUCUGGAAAUGUGGACAGUUUUCUUUAAAGACUGUAAAAUACUUUUUGAAGUGUACACUGUUACAAAUACACCAUUAAAAAUGAGAUGUUUUCCUGUUCUUUUGACUGCAAUAAAAUAAGAAUUGAUUCAUCUUUGUCUGUCAUUCUGAAAUCAGAUAUAAUACUCAUUACUAAUAAUAUUAUUAAUGGAUGAUGUUAAAUUAAAAUAGUAUAAUUGAAUAGUAUUUAUUGUAUAGUGCUAGGUCUUUGUCCUGUAUACCCAAUAUUUUGUUUAAAUUGAAAUUAAUUUCUAAUUGCAAAUUGCAGUUAACCUUUUUGAAUGGGUUACUAUUAAAGAGUUUAUGGUAUGAUUCUAACUCAAUUUUUAUUUGUUGAAUUUAAAUAAUGAUAUUGCUUGUAAUCUGUUGCCACACUUUUAUUGAGUAGAUAUGGCAUAAUAUUUUUUAUUG